rnacentral:rRNA from 1 species
UACGUAGGGUGCAAGCGUUGUUCGGAAUCAUUGGGCGUAAAGCGCGUGUAGGUGGUUAUGUAAGUCGAGUGUGAAAUCCCUGGGCUCAACCGAGGAAGUGCAUCCGAAACUACAUAGCUAGAGGACGGUAGAGGAAGGUGGAAUUCCUAGUGUAGAGGUGAAAUUCGUAGAUAUUAGGAGGAAUACCGGUGGCGAAGGCGGCCUUCUGGGCCGGACCUGACACUGAGACGCGAAAGCGUGGGUAGCAAACAGG